rnacentral:rRNA from 1 species
UACAGAGGGUGCGAGCGUUGUCCGGAAUCACUGGGCGUAAGGGCGCGUAGGUGGCGGGACAAGCGUGCGGUGAAAGCCUGGGGCUCAACCCCGGGUCGGCCGUGCGAACUGUUUUGCUUGAGCACUGUAGAGGCAGGCGGAAUUCCGGGUGUAGCGGUGGAAUGCGUAGAGAUCCGGAAGAACACCGGUGGCGAAGGCGGCCUGCUGGGCAGUAGCUGACACUGAGGCGCGACAGCGUGGGGAGCAACAGG